rnacentral:rRNA from 1 species
AUUGAACGCUGGCGGAAUGCUUUACACAUGCGAGUCGAACGGCAGCACGGACUUCGGUCUGGUGGCGAGUGGCGAACGGGUGAGUAAUACAUCGGAACGUGCCCAGUCGUGGGGGAUAACGUAGCGAAAGCUACGCUAAUACCGCAUACGAUCUAAGGAUGAAAGCGGGGGAUCGCAAGACCUCGCGCGAAUGGAGCGGCCGAUGGCAGAUUAGGUAGUUGGUAGGGUAAAGGCCUACCAAGCCGACGAUCUGUAGCUGGUCUGAGAGGAUGAUCAGCCACACUGGGACUGAGACACGGCCCAGACUCCUACGGGAGGCAGCAGUGGGGAAUUUUGGACAAUGGACGCAAGUCUGAUCCAGCCAUUCCGCGUGCAGGAUGAAGGCCCUCGGGUUGUAAACUGCUUUUGUACAGAACGAAAAGGCUCUGGUUAAUACCUGGGGCUCAUGACGGUACUGUAAGAAUAAGCACCGGCUAACUACGUGCCAGCAGCCGCCGUAACAC